AUUGAACGCUGGCGGCAGGCCUAACACAUGCAAGUCGAACGAGUGGCGGACGGGUGAGUAAUGUCUGGGAAACUGCCUGAUGGCGGGGGAUAACUACUGGAAACGGUAGCUAAUACCGCAUACAAUCGGAUGUGCCCAGAUGGGAUUAGCUAGUAGGGUGGGUAACGGCUCACCUCGGCGACGCUCCAUAGCUGGUCUUAGAGGAUGACCGGCCAUCAUGGAACUGAGAAACGGUCCAGACUCCUACGGGAGGCAGCAGUGGGUAAUAUUGCACAAUGGGCGCAAGCCUGAUGCAGCCAUGCCGCGUGUAUGAAGAAGGCCUUCGGGUUGUAAAGUACUUUCAGCGGGGAGGCGUUACCCGCAGAAGAAGCACCGGCUAACUCCGUGCCAGCAGCCGCGGUAAUAC
rnacentral:rRNA from 1 species